rnacentral:rRNA from 1 species
CCUACGGGAGGCAGCAGUAGGGAAUAUUGCUCAAUGGGGGAAACCCUGAAGCAGCAACGCCGCGUGGAGGAUGAAGGUUUUCGGAUUGUAAACCCCUUUUGUUAGAGAAGAUAAUGACGGUAUCUAACGAAUAAGCACCGGCUGACUCGGUUCCAGCAGGCGCGGUAAUACGGAGGGUGCAAACGUUACUCGGAAUCACUGGGCGCAAAGAGUGCGUAGGGGGGAUAGCAAGUCAGAUGUGAAAUCCUAUGGGUUAACAAUAGAACUGCAUUGGAAACUGUUAUUCUAGAGUGUGAGAGAGGUGUGUGGAAUUCUAGGUGUAGCGGUGAAAUGCGUAGAGAGAAGGAGGAAUACUGAUUGCGAAGGCGACCUGCUAGAACGUAACUGACGCUGAUGCGCGAAAGCGUGGGGAGCAAACAGGAUUAGAUACCCCGGUAGUC